rnacentral:rRNA from 1 species
GCUGGCGGUAUGCUUUACACAUGCAAGUCGAACGGCAGCAUAGGUGCUUGCACCUGAUGGCGAGUGGCGAACGGGUGAGUAAUGCAUCGGAACGUGCCCAGUCGUGGGGGAUAACGCAGCGAAAGCUGUGCUAAUACCGCAUACGAUCUAUGGAUGAAAGCGGGGGACCUUCGGGCCUCGCGCGAUUGGAGCGGCCGAUGUUAGAUUAGGUAGUUGGUGGGGUAAAGGCUCACCAAGCCGACGAUCUAUAGCUGGUCUGAGAGGACGACCAGCCACACUGGAACUGAGACACGGUCCAGACUCCUACGGGAGGCAGCAGUGGGGAAUUUUGGACAAUGGGCGAAAGCCUGAUCCAACAAUACCG